UGGUGGUGUAGAUGAGGCUGGGUCUAGUCAUGUUAUAGAUGGUGGUGUAGAUGAGGCUGGGUCUAGUCAUGUUAUAGAUGGUGGUGUAGAUGAGGCUGGGUCUAGUCAGGUUAUAGAUGGUGGUGUAGAUGAGGCUGGGUCGAGUCAUGUCAUGGAUGGUGGUGUAGAUGAGGCUGGGUCUAGUCAUGUAAUGGAUGGUGGUGUAGAUGAGGCUGGGUCUAGUCAUGUCAUGGAUGGUGGUGUAGAUGAGGCUGGGUUGAGUCAUGUUAUAGCUGAGGCUGGGUCUAGUCAUGCUAUAGAUGGUGGUGUAGAUGAGGCUGGUUCUAGUCAUGCUAUAGAUGGUGGUGUAGAUAAGGCUGGGUCUAGUCAGAUUAUAGAUGGUGGUGUAGAUGAGGCUGGGUCUAGUCAUCCUAAUGAUGGUGGUGUAGAUGAGGCUGGGUCGAGUCAUGUUAUAGACGGUGGUGCAGAUGAGGCUGGGUCUAGUCAUGUUAUAGAUGGUAGUGUAGAUGAGGCUGGGUCUAGUCAGGUUAUAGAUGGUGGUGUAGAUGAGGCUGGGUCGAGUCAUGUCAUGGAUGGUGGUGUAGAUGAGGCUGGGUCGAGUCAUGUCAUGGAUGGUGGUGUAGAUGAGGCUGGGUCUAGUCAUGUCAUGGAUGGUGGUGUAGAUGAGGCUGGGUCUAGUCAUGUAAUGGAUGGUGGUGUAGAUGAGGCUGGGUCUAGUCAUGUCAUGGAUGGUGGUGUAGAUGAGGCUGGGUCUAGUCAUGUUAUAGAUGGUGGUG
ensembl:lncRNA